rnacentral:rRNA from 1 species
CUGGCUCAGGACGAACGCUGGCGGCGUGCUUAACACAUGCAAGUCGAACGGAAAGGCCCAGCUUGCUGGGUACUCGAGUGGCGAACGGGUGAGUAACACGUGGGUGAUCUGCCUUGCACUCUGGGAUAAGCCUGGGAAACUGGGUCUAAUACCGGAUAGGACCUCUGGCUGCAUGGUUGGGGGUGGAAAGCUUUUGCGGUGUGAGAUGGGCCCGCGGCCUAUCAGCUUGUUGGUGGGGUAAUGGCCUACCAAGGCGACGACGGGUAGCCGACCUGAGAGGGUGAUCGGCCACACUGGGACUGAGACACGGCCCAGACUCCUACGGGAGGCAGCAGUGGGGAAUAUUGCACAAUGGGCGCAAGCCUGAUGCAGCGACGCCGCGUGAGGGAUGACGGCCUUCGGGUUGUAAACCUCUUUCGCCAGGGACGAAGCGUAAGUGACGGUACCUGGAGAAGAAGCACCGGCCAACUACGUGCC